GGGGUUUGAGGAAGGAGAUGAAGAAGGUUUAAUGCAGAGGUUUGAGGGUUAGAAGGUGAAAAGAGUAAAGGAGGAGUGGAGGGUCUAUGAGUGGUGGGGCAUGGCAAAGGUGGAGAAGCGGCGAGUACAUUUGGUAUUGUUCACAAGGCAGAAGAAAGAAGAGUGUGGAACAAAGAGCUCUGGACCAGCUUCCUCGUCUAACAAACGAUUACUCUUAAGUUGUUGUUUUUUCUGUAAAGGUAUUCAAAUAAUUUGUCAUUUUAAAGUCGUUUCUUUUCAGAAGUUUAGGUGUAGGAAAAACUGUUACAGUGUUUGAACAUGCACUAUGAGAGGAACAAGAGGGAGCGAGGUUUUGGUCACUGUCCAGUUGAACAAGCAAAUGUUUUUGCUUUUCUUUUACUGUGUGUCGACUGGGAUUCAGCAACUUUCCCAGGACAUCUGCUCCCAACGCCCACGUUUGUAUCUUCAUCCAAUUGGAUUGCUUCUUUCACCACUAAGACUUGUGGGUGCUGCGCAGUGAUUGGCUCCCCAGGCCAGGGCCCAGAAAGCAAAGGCUGAGCCCUGAGAAUUUUCCGAAACAUUUUCUCCCCUGUCUUGGCUUUCGCCAACAUCUGCUUCCAAUCAACCUUAGUGAAAAGACAGCUUCUCUUUCUCCCUGCUGUCUGGGUUACACAAACACACACAGACACACACAUUCACACACACACAAACACUUACACACACAUGCUUACACCAGGCAACCUUUUCCAACCUUUUAGUUGUAUCUGUCAGGAAAUUUCAAGUUUUAAACAAUAGUAAUUGUAUAUUUUUUUAAAAGUCAAAGUGCAAGCUAAGCUCUUUUCUUUAAUUUUGUUUCUGACAUUUUGACAUGCCACACUUACAUGCAUCAACUUCUAAAUGUUUGUCUGCAAAAAAUGAUCCUUUAUUAACAAAGAAUCCAUCUGUGACUGAGAUCUGACCAUGCUGACUGGGGGCAAAAAGGGGAGGAUUUGGUCAAAAGAAAAACAUUUUCAUGGGAACAUACUCUAAAACACCCCUUAAAUAUACUUUUCACUACUGCCCACUGCACUCCAUCCCACCCUUUUAUGAGAAAAUAGUACUAAGGGUCAACUUCCUUGACCGCAAGCGUUAGUUUCUACAAGUCUGCCUCCCUCACCCCGUACUUUCUCGCUUUCAUUCACAGCUCAGCCCUCCUGUGUGGUCAUUUCUGUUGCUCCUAUUGCGUGACUUUCAACUACAACAAGUCAACAAACAGCAGAAAAGCCUGCUUAUUAUGGCAGGUACUUUCCACAGAUAUUCAGAAAUAAGCAUGGUGAUUCACUGUAGCCAAAGAGAAACACACAAAGUAAGCAGCAGUUACUCCACUUCACAGCAAAAGCUUGCUAUUAUCAGCCAGGCUGACUGUGUUGUUUCUGCCAGCUUACUGCUUAAUAGGCUUUGGCCCUCACGGCUAAACAAUCAUGGGAGAAAUAACUUGGAGGUUAGGAGGUUGCUAGAGUGAAAUGUGGGAUUUAUUACUAACAGUUUUUUUGCAAACUAGAGUGAAAUGAGAGUCUUCUCAACAAAUUUAAAUACCCCCUUAUUUAUGAAAAGGAAUUAAAGGAGCUCCCUUUUAAAUAGGAAGACUGAACACUUAAGAGUUUUCAUUAUGAAACAUCAUUACCUCUGAAUAUACUUUUUACUAUGAAUAUUUUUCAGAGGGUAUUAAAUCAUUUUGAACCUGUUGCUAAACUAUGACCUUUUGGGGAGAUGAAGAUAACCAGAAAUGACCAGUGGCAGCCUGAUUUUUGCUUCCCCUCCAUCCACCUUUGACCCUUAACACCACUGGUUUUGUAGUCCAGCUCCUGCCAGACAUGGUCUGAUUUACAGCGCAGUAAUGCUGACUGGUCUACAGGAGUUAUCCUGGGUCAGGCCGAGCUAAUAAAUUACAAGUGUGUCACUCCAGAAAAGACUAAAGCUAACCUUAAAUCUGCUGCAGUUGGGAUUUAGGAGAGGCAUGGGCGUCAUAGUAGAGGAGUAGUGGUACUCAUUACCCAGGGUCUUGGCAGAGGAAGGAGCUUUCAAUGGGCCUGAAAUAACAAUAUAUAUUUUUAACACAAUUCUUCCACAGUUUGGGAAAAGUUAGUCACUCACCCCUGAUAAAUGCCUAAAAAUGUUUAUGCUGUCUAAUUCAGCCUUGCUUAAUACAGUAGGAAGAUAUUUGGGUCAAGAAUGCAAUUUGUCUUAUGGUUUAGUCAAAGGCAGGGAUUUAGGGCCAUGCACCUUCAAAGACCAAAGCACCCAUGGAUGCCAGCAUAAAGAAUCUCUAAUUAGCUAACAAACUUCCCUCCCUUCUCCACUUGACUUUAAAAGACUGGGUGACAGCUGGUGAACUUUUACAUAAUCCAUCAUUGACAGAAUGACUGUGAAGAACACUGUGACUUCCAAGCCGAAGGCUCCUGAAAACGUAAUCACAGUGUGGAUGUAUGACAGAUGCAUGUUGCUUCAGGCCAGCUGAACUGUCACAAGACUAAUGCUGUGUUCCAGUUACCUCGGAAGUUGGAUGUCGGAGCUGUGAAUGACAUUACACCGGAGUUGACGGCGUUCCAGUAAACAAGUUGGAAAAUGGUCAGAAGAUGGACGCCUACUGUUAGCUGUUGUUAACAAUUGUCAACGGUCAUUAGCCGUUGUCGGUUGUUGUUAGCGAUUGUCAACUGUUGGUAGCCAUUGUCGGUUGUUGUUAGCAAUUGUCAACUGUCAUUAGCCAUUGUCAGUUGUUGUUAGCGGUUGUCAACUGUUGUUAGCCAUUGUCGGUUGUUGUUAGCGAUUGUCAACUGGUGUUAGCUUUUGUCAGCUGUUGUUAGUUGUUGUUAGCUAUACCUGUUGUAAACAACGCAUAACACAGUAUUCUACUCUUACAAACACCAUAGCAUCGUGUUCACAGUAAGACUUUGGGCAGCACAACAUAUUCCACUUAUUUAAUUUCACAAAAACAAAACAGAAGUGCUAAUAAAUAAUAUAUUGCAAGAGCUUUCGAUGUUACUCUUUACUGUAGAUGCGCUGCGCUGCCAUCUUGGAUUAUGACGUUGUCGUCAAACCGGGGUUGGUCAGGAUUGUCCGACUCCAGAUAAAUUUCCGACUUGGAGCUAGGAAAUGCUGACUUCCGAGUGCAACUGGAACACAGCAUUAGUUGUGGAAAAACAAGGCAAAGUCUUUAAGCAGAUAAUGACCACUGUUCACUAAUUUAAAAAGUAAACUCGUGACCUUCCUUUUUAGUCCGGCUUUUAGCAGAUUUUUGAUUUAAUCCCUUAAUGUGCGAAAUGUGAUUUUCACCUAUUUUAGUCCAAGAGUUAAGAUUAUGUGUUGAACUUCCUCUUUUAUAUUUAUUGUCUUUUAUUGUUUGGUUUUAAGACUGUUUUACUUUAAUGAACUUUUAACGCUUCAUUAUUUUAAUAUAUGGUUUUAGUGGUUUAGUCUAAAUCCAGUGUUUCCUCAUUUUUACCUCAAGCUAGUGUUUCCUCUGUCGUCUGUGGUGAAUUGAGGAGUCCACAACUGUUAUUUGUGUGUGUGUGUCUGUGUGUGAGCGUUUCAGUGUUGGAUAUGUUGAAUGUUGGUUUGGACAGUUCUGUAUUUCAUUAAUCAUUACCAUUUUAAAAACCUGCAAAAUGUACAAAAAAAAAAGUCUGUAUUAGCAGUUUAUCUCAAUAGAGUCCUUUGCACAUUUUUAAGGUAUUUUAUUGACUUUAAACAAAGACAAAUAAAUAAAUGAACUUGGCUUUUACAACUUGCUUAUUAUAUGAGUGACAAAAGAGUGUUAGCUAACAUUUGUGGAAACAUUUAGAAACAAAAUGUACAAAGUAUAAAUUGCUCUGUUUAUUUCAUUGCUACUAAAAUACAGUGUGUACUUCCCUAUAUCCUUGUGUUAAUAUGUAUCGUAUACAAUGUAUCAAGUAUCUAGAAAGUGACAAUUAAGAAGCAGAUGGGGGUGAAAAUGGAAGAUGAGUAGAUGGGCAAACAGAGAUCAGAAACAAAAAAAAAAGUGAACAUAAGCCAGUUGAAAUCAAUCUUGACCUGGAAGCUUUAUGUGUGAAUAAUUAAAUAAAAAAGAAAAGCUCAUAUACAGAUGUGUUAGCUAUAUGCUCUGCUUUUGUCAUUCACAUGGGUCCUGUUCGGUCAGGUUCAGUUACAUGUAAAAUGGAAUAAGUCGCUGAAAGCCAAACUUCAGCACCUGCUCGUCCACUGUUUGCAGUGAGUCAUGAGAACUGGCUGAUGAUGUGCUUCAUGAUAUGUUGCAUGCUCAGUUUUGGCUUACCUUGCUGAGAAAGAGGCUGAGUAAUAGCUACAUUCAGAUGAACUGACAUCACUCUCUGCGCAUGAUGAAUGGAAACUGUCCCAUGAAAUGUUGGGAACAAGGGAAUACUAAGUGAAGUUAAUUAAAAAAAAAACGGUAUUUCUGUGCUUUGAAAGGACUCCAAUAAAACUCAGUGUAGUUACGAGGACAAGAGAAUGAUAGGAUUUCUAGCCCCUUGUGGAAUUUAAACACAGCCUCAUCUGAAAAAGCCACAGUAAAUGAAGUUAAAUGUUUAGACCUCAGGCACUUUAGAGGUUAAAGUUUGGUGGGAAAGGACAGAAACACCCUGGGUCUCUGUGAAGGCAUAUGUAAACAACAUGAAUGAACUAUUUUUGUCGCAAUAACACAGUAAGUACAUGAGAUAUAACUUACAAUAGUGGGGGGCAGAGAAAGGGAGUGAGAAGUGAGAAGGCCAAGUCCCUCAGUGCUCAGGGAGAAGGCUGCGGAGACUGAGAAAGC